GGAGUUUUUAAACAUUGGCGAACAACCGCAACAUCAUGAAGUUGCCUUCGCAUGGCAGAGGUCACGAGUUCGAGUCUCGUCGGGUCCA
rnacentral:tRNA from 2 species